UACGUAGGGUGCGAGCGUUAAUCGGAAUUACUGGGCGUAAAGCGUGCGCAGGCGGUGAUGUAAGACCGAUGUGAAAGCCCCGGGCUCAACUUGGGAACGGCAUUGGAAACUGGCGAGCUAGAGUGUGGCAGAGGGGGGUGGAAUUCCGCGUGUAGCAGUGAAAUGCGUAGAGAUGCGGAGGAACACCGAUGGCGAAGGCAGCCCCCUGGGCUGACACUGACGCUCAGGCACGAAAGCGUGGGGAGCAAACAGG
rnacentral:rRNA from 1 species